UGAGAGUCACAGAGGAAGUGGGUUGC
rnacentral:piRNA from 1 species